GCUUCUUCUCAGGACGCAUAACUAGAAGCAUCGGCGUCGUUCUCCUGGUGCCCAAGCCCCUCGUGCGUGUCCACAACCUCCCACCUGAACACGUGGACCGGACGCAUCUCAGAGUCAGAGUCUUCUGGAAAAGGAAACAGGUGCACUCUCCCCGCGAGGUCCUGCACUGCAUCAGGCUGUGGGCUUCCUGGCAUGAGGAGGAUGAGCAGGGUGCAGCCACGUGCAUCCUCCUGGCAUUUAUUUAACUUCACUGGAGUCCACUGGAGGACGUCAAGGCCCGAGGAGCAAACAGGAGCCCCCAAGAACACGGAAGGCCAGCGAAGACAGAGGGCGUGUGAGGAGGGUGGAUGACUCCCAGUGCCAGAGCCGGAACCCGCAUACUGCAGGCCCCACAGGUAAGUCACCUUCACCUGAUUUACCAAAUCAAGUGACCCAAAUCGGGCUGUGUGGGUGUCCUAGGAACUGAGCCUCAGUAACCUGUACUCAAGCCACCAGCCGCUGUAGGAGGGUGGAGCCAGUUGUGAGCGAAACUGUGUACCCUGAACAGUGUUUGCACCAG